rnacentral:lncRNA from 10 species
ACCGUGCGACGCCCCAACCCGCCGCUCCGCCGCGGUGGUACGCUCCAGGCCGCCAGGCCGCGAGGCCCACCGAGCGGACGCCAGUGGAUGACCCGCGGCGGGGGAGGAGGAGUCUGGAAGGCAAGGUCAAGGAGACAGUGCACAAUGCCUUUUGGGACCAUCUUAAAGAGCAACUAUCAGCAACUCCCCCUGACUUCAGCUGUGCUCUUGAACUUCUGAAAGAAAUUAAAGAGGGCUGAGAGAGGCCAACCAAGGACCUCAUUUGAGAGGGCAUAGCUAUGCCAUGAGACGUUACUGGCCUGUGUAUGCUGCUGACCACAGUGCACUGCAGGAACCAAGCACUGGAGAAGCUAUUCAUGCUGCAGGAGCCAAGUACUGCAGGAGCCUGCUGAGUGAACAUACCAGAACCGGGAAUAAAAGCUCUUGCCUUUGCAAUGUCUUUCUAAUCUUGCUAUCACUGCUAUUACCACGCCA